UACAGAGGGGGCAAGCGUUAUUCGGAAUUAUUGGGCGUAAAGGGCGCGUAGGCGGCUUUGCAAGUGGCGGGUGAAAUCCCUCGGCUUAACCGAGGAACUGCCUGCCAGACUGCAAGGCUCGAGACCGGGAGAGGUGAGUGGAAUUCCCAGUGUAGCGGUGAAAUGCGUAGAUAUUGGGAGGAACACCAGUGGCGAAGGCGGCUCACUGGACCGGAACUGACGCUGAGGCGCGAAAGCGUGGGGAGCAAACAGG
rnacentral:rRNA from 1 species